rnacentral:snRNA from 1 species
UUCGCUAUAAUACUUGUCGAUAUAUAAACCAUGCCGAACAAUACAGAGAAGAUUAGCAUAGCCGCUGCGCAAGGAUGACACGUACUUCGUGAAGCGUUUCAAAUUCUU